GGGUGAGUAACACGUGGGUAACCUGCCCAGAAGCAGGGGAUAACACCUGGAAACAGAUGCUAAUACCGUAUAACAGAGAAAACCGCCUGGUUUUCUUUUAAAAGAUGGCUCUGCUAUCACUUCUGGAUGGACCCGCGGCGCAUUAGCUAGUUGGUGAGGUAACGGCUCACCAAGGCGAUGAUGCGUAGCCGACCUGAGAGGGUAAUCGGCCACAUUGGGACUGAGACACGGCCCAGACUCCUACGGGAGGCAGCAGUAGGGAAUCUUCCACAAUGGACGCAAGUCUGAUGGAGCAACGCCGCGUGAGUGAAGAAGGGUUUCGGCUCGUAAAGCUCUGUUGUUAAAGAAGAACGUGGGUGAGAGUAACUGUUCACCCAGUGACGGUAUUUAACCAGAAAGCCACGGCUAACUACGUGCCAGCAGCCGCGGUAAUACGUAGGUGGCAAGCGUUAUCCGGAUUUAUUGGGCGUAAAGCGAGCGCAGGCGGUCUUUUAAGUCUAAUGUGAAAGCCUUCGGCUCAACCGAAGAAGUGCAUUGGAAACUGGGAGACUUGAGUGCAGAAGAGGACAGUGGAACUCCAUGUGUAGCGGUGAAAUGCGUAGAUAUAUGGAAGAACACCAGUGGCGAAGGCGGCUGUCUGGUCUGUAACUGACGCUGAGGCUCGAAAGCAUGGGUAGCGAACAGGAUUAGAUACCCUGGUAGUCCAUGCCGUAAACGAUGAUUACUAAGUGUUUGGAGGGUUUCCGCCCUUCAGUGCUGCAGCUAACGCAUUAAGUAAUCCGCCUGGGGGAGUACGACCGCAAGGUUGAAACUCAUAAGAAUUGACGGGGGCCCGCACAAGCGGUGGAGCAUGUGGUUUAAUUCGAAGCUACGCGAAGAACCUUACCAGGUCUUGACAUCUUCUGCCAACCUAAGAGAUUAGGCGUUCCCUUCGGGGACAGAAUGACAGGUGGU
rnacentral:rRNA from 1 species